rnacentral:siRNA from 1 species
GCCGGUUCGAGUGAUGCUUGGUA